UACAGAGGUGGCAAGCGUUGUUCGGAAUUACUGGGCGUAAAGGGCGCGUAGGCGGCCUUGUCAGUCAGACGUGAAAUCCCCAGGCUUAACCUGGGAACUGCGUCUGAUACUACAAGGCUGGAGUUCGGGAGAGGAAUGUGGAAUUCCAGGUGUAGCGGUGAAAUGCGUAGAUAUCUGGAGGAACACCGGUGGCGAAGGCGGCAUUCUGGACCGAAACUGACACUGAUGAGCGAAAGCCAGGGGAGCAAACGGG
rnacentral:rRNA from 1 species